GUCUGCGGCCAUACGACCCUGAACACACGCCAUCUCAUCUGAUCUCAGAAGCUAAGCAGGGUCGGGCCUGGUUAGUACUUGAAUGGGAGACCUUAUCUGUGAAAUGGGCCUGCCAGUCC
rnacentral:rRNA from 1 species